rnacentral:rRNA from 1 species
GGUGAACACGGAGCUUGCUCUGUGGGAUCAGUGGCGAACGGGUGAGUAACACGUGAGCAACCUGCCCCUGACUCUGGGAUAAGCGCUGGAAACGGCGUCUAAUACUGGAUAUGUGACGUGACCGCAUGGUCUGCGUCUGGAAAGAAUUUCGGUUGGGGAUGGGCUCGCGGCCUAUCAGCUUGUUGGUGAGGUAAUGGCUCACCAAGGCGUCGACGGGUAGCCGGCCUGAGAGGGUGACCGGCCACACUGGGACUGAGACACGGCCCAGACUCCUACGGGAGGCAGCAGUGGGGAAUAUUGCACAAUGGGCGCAAGCCUGAUGCAGCAACGCCGCGUGAGGGACGACGGCCUUCGGGUUGUAAACCUCUUUUAGCAGGGAAGAAGCGAAAGUGACGGUACCUGCAGAAAAAGCGCCGGCUAACUACGUGCCAGCAGCCGCGGUAAUACGUAGGGCGCAAGCGUUAUCCGGAAUUAUUGGGCGUAAAGAGCUCGUAGGCGGUUUGUCGCGUCUGCUGUGAAAUCCGGAGGCUCAACCUCCGGCCUGCAGUGGGUACGGGCAGACUAGAGUGCGGUAGGGGAGAUUGGAAUUCCUGGUGUAGCGGUGGAAUGCGCAGAUAUCAGGAGGAACACCGAUGGCGAAGGCAGAUCUCUGGGCCGUAACUGACGCUGAGGAGCGAAAGGGUGGGGAGCAAACAGGCUUAGAUACCCUGGUAGUCCACCCCGUAAACGUUGGGAACUAGUUGUGGGGUCCAUUCCACGGAUUCCGUGACGCAGCUAACGCAUUAAGUUCCCCGCCUGGGGAGUACGGCCGCAAGGCUAAAACUCAAAGGAAUUGACGGGGACCCGCACAAGCGGCGGAGCAUGCGGAUUAAUUCGAUGCAACGCGAAGAACCUUACCAAGGCUUGACAUAUACGAGAACGGGCCAGAAAUGGUCAACUCUUUGGACACUCGUAAACAGGUGGUGCAUGGUUGUCGUCAGCUCGUGUCGUGAGAUGUUGGGUUAAGUCCCGCAACGAGCGCAACCCUCGUUCUAUGUUGCCAGCACGUAAUGGUGGGAACUCAUGGGAUACUGCCGGGGUCAAYUCGGAGGAAGGWGGGGAUGACGUCAAAUCAUCAUGCCCCUUAUGUCUUGGGCUUCNCGCAUGCUACAAUGGCCGGUACAAGGGCUGCAAUACCGCGAGGUGGAACGAAUCCCAAAAGCCGGUCCC